UACGUAGGUGGCAAGCGUUAUCCGGAAUUAUUGGGCGUAAAGCGCGCGCAGGUGGUUUCUUAAGUCUGAUGUGAAAUCCCUCGGCUCAACUGAGGAACUGCACGGGAAACUGCUUGGCUUGAGUUCGGGAGAGGGAAGCGGAAUUCCGGGUGUAGCGGUGAAAUGCGUAGAUAUCCGGAGGAACACCGGUGGCGAAGGCGGCUUCCUGGACCGACACUGACGCUGAGGCGCGAAAGCUAGGGGAGCAAACGGG
rnacentral:rRNA from 1 species